rnacentral:rRNA from 1 species
UUGGUGGGGUUGUGGCCUACCAAGGCGACGACGGGUAGCCGGCCUGAGAGGGUGACCGGCCACACUGGGACUGAGACACGGCCCAGACUCCUACGGGAGGCAGCAGUGGGGAAUCUUGCGCAAUGGGCGAAAGCCUGACGCAGCGACGCCGCGUGGGGGAUGAAGGCCUUCGGGUUGUAAACCUCUUUCAGCAGGGAAGAAGCGAGAGUGACGGUACCUGCAGAAGAAGCACCGGCUAACUACGUGCCAGCAGCCGCGGUAAUACGUAGGGUGCAAGCGUUGUCCGGAAUUAUUGGGCGUAAAGAGCUCGUAGGUGGCGGGUCACGUCGGGUGUGAAAGCCCGGGGCUUAACCCCGGGUCUGCAUUCGAUACGGGCUUGCUAGGGUCCGGCAGGGGAGACUGGAAUUCCUGGUGUAGCGGUGAAAUGCGCAGAUAUCAGGAGGAACACCGGUGGCGAAGGCGGGUCUCUGGGCCGGUACCGACGCUGAGGAGCGAAAGCGUGGGGAGCGAACAGGAUUAGAUACCCUGGUAGUCCACGCCGUAAACGUUGGGCGCUAGGUGUGGGGAGCAUUCCACGUUCUCUGUGCCGUAGCUAACGCAUUAAGCGCCCCGCCUGGGGAGUACGG